GGCCGAGUGGUGGAAUUGGUAGACACGCGAGAUUCAAAAUUUCGUGCCUUCGGGCGUGUCGGUUCGACUCCGACCUCGGCUACCA
rnacentral:tRNA from 1 species